AGUCCGGAGCCGAAGGGAAACCAAGUCUUAAUAGGGCCAGAGUCAGUCAACGUAGACCCGAAACCGGGUGAUCUACCCAUGUCCAGGUUGAAGUUGCCGUAAAAGGCAAUGGAGGACCGAACGCACAUCUGUUGAAAAAGGUGGCGAUGAGGUGUGGGUAGGGGAGAAAUUCCAAUCGAACCCGGAGAUAGCUGGUUCUCCUCGAAAUAGCUUUAGGGCUAGCCUCGGCAGAGUCUUUUGGAGGUAGAGCACUGAAUUUCCUAGGGGGCGUCACAGCUUACCGAAGAAUAUCAAACUCCGAAUGCCAGUAAGAUGAUUGCCGGGAGUCAGACUGCACGAGAUAAGUUGGGUAGUCAAAAGGGAAAGAGCCCAGACCUACAGCUAAGGUCCCAAAGUGUGUGUUAAGUGGAAAAGGAUGUGGGAUUUCUAAGACAACUAGGAUGUUGGCUCAGAAGCAGCCAUACAUUCAAAGAGUGCGUAAUAGCUCACUAGUCGAGAGGUCCUGCGCCGAAAAUGUCCGGGGCUGAAACACAACACCGAAGCUUAGGGAUGCAGUAAUGCAUCGGUAGAGGAGCAUUCUUAAAGGGGCGAAGCAGUACCGAAAGGAGCUGUGGACUUUUAAGAAGAGAGAAUGCCGGAAUGAGUAGCGAGAACAAGGUGAGAAUCCUUGUGGCCGAAUAUCCAAGGUUUCCAGAGUAAAGCUGAUCUGCUCUGGGUAAGUCGGGGCCUAAGGCGAGGUCGAAAGACGUAGUCGAUGGACAACAGGUGGAAAUUCCUGUACCGCGAUAUAACAGAACUGUGGGGACGCAGAAGGAAAGCACAAGCCGGGAACGGAAACCCCGGUACAAGCGAGGUAGGAGUACGGUUGGCAAAUCCGCCGUACAAUCUGAAGACGUGACGUGGACCGAAAUUAAAGUAGGGAAGUGUGUGAGCCGGCUGCCAAGAAAAGCCGCUAUUGUUUAUAUCGUGCCCGUACCGUAAACCGACACAGGUGGAUGAGGAGAGAAUCCUAAGGCCGACGGAAGAAGCAUUGUCAAGGAACUCGGCAAAAUGACCCCGUAACUUCGGGAGAAGGGGUGCCACAGAAAUGUGGCCGCAGAGAAUUGGCCCAAGCAACUGUUUAGCAAAAACACAGGUCUAUGCAAAACCGAAAGGUGAGGUAUAUGGGCUGACGCCUGCCCGGUGCUGGAAGGUUAAGGGGAGAGGUUAGCGCAAGCGAAGCUUUGAACUUAAGCCCCAGUAAACGGCGGCCGUAACUAUAACGGUCCUAAGGUAGCGAAAUUCCUUGUCGGGUAAGUUCCGACCCGCACGAAAGGCGUAAUGAUUUGGGCACUGUCUCGACAAUGCAUCCGGUGAAAUUGAAGUACCAGUGAAGAUGCUGGUUACCUGCGCCAGGACGGAAAGACCCCAUGGAGCUUUACUCCAGCUUGAUACUGGGAUUCGGUAUUGCAUGUACAGGAUAGGUGGGAGGCAAAGAAACGAGGACGCCAGUCUUCGUGGAGCCGCUGUUGGGAUACCACCCUUGCAGUGCUGGAUUUCUAACCUGCGGCCGUGAACCGGUCGGGGGACAAUGUCAGGCGGGGAGUUUGACUGGGGCGGUCGCCUCCGAAAGGGUAUCGGAGGCGCUCAAAGGUUCCCUCAGAAUGGUUGGAAACCAUUCGAAGAGUGCAAAGGCAGAAGGGAGCUUGACUGCGACACCGACGGGUGGAGCAGGUACGAAAGUAGGACUUAGUGAUCCGGUGGUAUAAAGUGGGAUUGCCAUCGCUCAACGGAUAAAAGCUACCCUGGGGAUAACAGGCUUAUCACUCCCAAGAGUUCACAUCGACGGAGUGGUUUGGCACCUCGAUGUCGGCUCAUCGCAUCCUGGGGCUGUAGUAGGUCCCAAGGGUUGGGCUGUUCGCCCAUUAAAGCGGUACGCGAGCUGGGUUCAGAACGUCGUGAGACAGUUCGGUCCCUAUCCGGCGUGGGCGUAGGAUAUUUGAGAGGAGCUGUCCUUAGUACGAGAGGACCGGGAUGGACCGACCACUGGUGUAUCGGUUGUACUGCCAAGUGCAUGGCCGAGUAGCCAAGUCGGGAAGGGAUAAACGCUGAAGGCAUCUAAGCGUGAAGCCCCCCUCAAGAUGAGAUAUCCCAUAGCACAAGCUAGUAAGACCCCUUGAAGACGACAAGGUGGAUAGGGCAGAGGUGGAAGUGCAGCAAUGUACGGAGCUGACUGCUACUAAUAGGUCGAGGGCUUGACCAG
rnacentral:rRNA from 1 species